rnacentral:rRNA from 1 species
UGAGUCCUACGGGAGGCAGCAGUGGGGAAUAUUGCACAAUGGGGGGAACCCUGAUGCAGCGACGCCGCGUGAAGGAAGAAGUAUUUCGGUAUGUAAACUUCUAUCAGCAGGGAAGAAAAAGGACGGUACCUGACUAAGAAGCCCCGGCUAACUACGUGCCAGCAGCCGCGGUAAUACGUAGGGGGCGAGCGUUAUCCGGAUUUACUGGGUGUAAAGGGAGCGUAGACGGCUGCGCAAGUCAGAAGUGAA